ACCAUGGAGAGUUUGAUCCUGGCUCAGGAUGAACGCUGGCGGUCGGCCUAACACAUGCAAGUCGAACGGGCCCUUUUGGGCUAGUGGCGGACGGGUGAGUAACGCGUGA
rnacentral:rRNA from 1 species